rnacentral:rRNA from 1 species
UACGGGGGGAGCAAGCGUUGUUCGGAUUUACUGGGCGUAAAGGGCGCGUAGGCGGCGUGACAAGUCACUUGUGAAAUCUCCGGGCUUAACCCGGAGCGGCCAAGUGAUACUGUCGUGCUAGAGUGCGGAAGGGGCUACUGGAAUUCUCGGUGUAGCGGUGAAAUGCGUAGAUAUCGAGAGGAACACCCGCGGCGAAGGCGGGUAGCUGGGCCGAUACUGACGCUGAGGAGCGAAAGCGUGGGGAGCGAACAGG